AGGAGUAAUAAGAACGUGUGUUUCUUGGACUGGCAAACCAAGCAUUCCAACACUAAAUGGCUUCCUGUUCAACACGUUCAAAGCCAGAAACUGUUUUGGGGGGUUGGUUAGAAAUAUGUGUGAAGUAUGCACUUUUACUUCAGGCCAAAUCAAAUGUUUUUAGUUUCCCCUCAUCUUCCAUCAUCCCCUCCCCCACUAAAAAGGAAAAAAAAGAAAAAAAAGAAAAGACAACAAAAAACCUUUCCUCUGUCACUGAGGAAGCUAGCCUUGAGUUAAUCUGCAAACAUUCCCACUUCUCAGUAAAGUUACUUAAAAAGAAACUGGUCAAUGUCAUUUUGCCCUGGCAUUUGGAGCUGUUGAGCUGUAAUGAGUAGAUGCUCAAGAUCUUGGCCCCAGGUUAAAACAAGAAAACAGCGAAUAUUUGAGGGUGUUACAGCAUUCUCCACCACUGUUGUCAAACCUGUAAUUCACAAAUUUUUAGCCUGUUUUCUUCUUCUGCCGCAUCACCCUCAAAGUUAUUUGGUACUGCUUAUUCUUUGCAGAUCUUUAGAGCUGUUUUCUUCUUCUUUUCAGUUUUCAAAGUUUGAUCACAUGGAUAAAAGUGAAAAUAAUGCAUAUGGGAAAAUGUGUGGAGCACUGCAUUCAUGGAUGGACCAAGGUGAUGAGGUUUUGCAGUUCCUCACUGAAGCCACUAGGCACGCAGCAGCAGCUCCAGCCAUGUCACCACUGAAGCUGCUGCUGAAAGCUGGGAAACUGAUGUGAUAAGAAUGGGAUUGCUGACCAGUGGUACUGCAGGUCUUGCAUGGUGCAGCAACUGCUCUGGUCAGGGCAGUGAUUCUCUGUGGUCUUCCUCUUCACAUUCACAUGUGAAAGAUCCCAAACUAAUUUCAGGAAUGCCUACACAUCACCAAGUGUGCUGGAAGGCAACAUCAGUACAAAGCUGAUGCCAUCAAUGCUGUUUUAUUUGAACACUACUACCACUAGAGAAAUGCUCUAACCUGCUAAUUAAGGAAUGGGAACUAAGACAUUUUAGCCAGUUUGUUAACAAGACACCAUAGUAGACUGUAACAUAUAAAAAAAAAAAAAGACUAGUGAUUUGUUGCUUGAAUUAGUUGUACCUGGGGGUCCAUGGCAAUGCUUCUGUGCCACACUGAUCAAUUCUUUCAAAAGACAUGGGGAGUAGACAUAUGCGCAGAGUAAGUAGGAGAGAAAGAAACCAGAGGACCUGUCCUUAGGGUUAUGCUAGAGAUUCUUUUACUUUUCAUGCAUGCAGAAAGCAGCUGAUUCAAUAUGUUUUGCAAAUAGAUAUAAAUGCAUACAGAAGCACUGGGAACAUCUUGUACACAGAUGUGAGUCAGUACUUGGCAGGUGGCUAGUUGAAGUCAGAUUUCCC
rnacentral:lncRNA from 1 species